GAUGAACGCUGGCGGCGUGCCUAAUACAUGCAAGUCGAGCGAACGGACGAGAAGCUUGCUUUUCUGAUGUUAGCGGCGGACGGGUGAGUAACACGUGGAUAACCUACCUAUAAGACUGGGAUAACUUCGGGAAACCGGAGCUAAUACCGGAUAAUAUUUUGAACCGCAUGGUUCAAAAGUGAAAGACGGUCUUGCUGUCACUUAUAGAUGGAUCCGCGCUGCAUUAGCUAGUUGGUAAGGUAACGGCUUACCAAGGCAACGAUGCAUAGCCGACCUGAGAGGGUGAUAGGCCACACUGGAACUGAGACACGGUCAAGACUCCUACGGGAGGCAGCAGUAGGGAAUCUGCCGCAAUGGGCGAAAGCCUGACGGAGCAACGCCGCGUGAGUGAUGAAGGUCUUCGGAUCGUAAAACUCUGUUAUUAGGGAAGAACAUAUGUGUAAGUAACUGUGCACAUCGUGACGGUACCUAAUCAGAAAGCCACGGCUAACUACGUG
rnacentral:rRNA from 1 species